CUUUAACUUAUGUACCCUUUAAUCAAAAAGUCACUACUUAAGUCAUCAUUCCUUUCCAUUGCUAUUAAGACCAACAAAGCAUAUGCUAUAACACCCAAACAAACCUACCAUUUCAAACCCUCUUUCAAUUGCAUUCCAUCACAAAUAUGUAACAAGUUUUUCUUUUCUACCCCUCUGCCCCAUAUGGAACCAUUUCUUGAAAAUUUUGGCAGUUGGGUAGUGGAGAAUUAAGUAUGGGAAUUUCUCUUGGAAAGGGCAACUUCAAUCCUUUGGCAUUUUUCAAUUCCUUCGAAUCUGUAUUUGGAUCCUCUACAACUGUUGUAUGGUAUAUAUACCGACGAUAGCUGAUCUAUGUCCUUUGUCUCAAUUCACUUUUGUGAUUUGGGUUCUUUGAUGGAGAGCUUUCAUAAUGGCAACACCACUAAUAUGUAAUAAUAUGUAUUGUACUCUCUUCUUUUCUUAUAUUUUGCUUUUUUCUUUUGGUGAUGUUAUUUAACUUUAAGGUGCAUGCUAUGUUUGUAUGAAAUGUCUACUAAUACUAUAGUAGGUAUCAAAUAAAUGUAUGUUUCUAUAUGCUAUUGGCCAAAAUGUAUUGUUGUUAUUCUAAACCUCUUACUCUUAAUUAUCAUGUUAUUUUGUUGGUGCUUA